rnacentral:lncRNA from 1 species
CCUCAGCUUGACCUGCGGCAGUGCAGCCCUUGGGACUUCCCUCGCCUUCCACCUCCUGCUCGUCUGCUUCACAAGCUAUCGCUAUGGUGUUCGUGCGCAGGCCGUGGCCCGCCUUGACCACAGUGCUUCUGGCCCUGCUCGUCUUCGCCGGAGGAGCUGAACCGCUACUACGCCUCCCUGCGCCACUACCUCAACCUGGUCACCCGGCAGCGGUAUGGGAAAAGAGACGGCCCGGACACGCUUCUUUCCAAAACGUUCUUCCCCGACGGCGAGGACCGCCCCGUCAGGUCGCGGUCGGAGGGCCCAGACCUGUGGUGAGGACCCCUGAGGCCUCCUGGGAGAUCUGCCAACCACGCCCACGUCAUUUGCAUACGCACUCCCGACC